CUACCAGGGUCUGGUUGGACUGCAAAUGAACACGUGCUUAAACCGCUUGAAAUGCUUGAGGUGUCAUACACUCGAGAACCUAGGUUGUGUAUUGUCUGUCAAAGUUUAAUAGCAAGUCAUACGUUCUAUAGUAACUAAGUAAGUUAACUAGCUAACGUUAAUUUAAGAUAAUGGCAAACAGAAAUAAGAUGCCAAGUACUCAGUUAAAGCCAAUUUACGUACCACGGUUUGGUUCUCAAUCGUCACGGUGUAGCAUCAGUCAAAGAGAUGCACAGCAAAUGAAAGAGUAUCACGUCGAGUUGCCAACCGUAAAGGGAAGAAUUCAAGAUGGGUUAUCAACCACAAAAAAACUCAAAUUGAUAAAAAUGAACAGCAAGCUCGCAAUUUCCAAGACGAAACAACACUUUCAACGAAGGUCGAUCACUCCAGAGAAAAUGAACGCUCAAGGAGGAGAGGGAUCACAUAAACAACUGCGAUGGGGACGUCCUGGCGUUGGCCAAAGAGCCUCGUUUCUUCCCUGUUCCUCCAAUACAGGCAGUCCUCAGAGCAUGCUGAGUGAAGACAUCUUCACCUUCUCACAGAGAAUCAAACACACAUCAACCAAUGAACCACAGUGGGCAAUCAGACAGGCUGUGUUGAAAACCAUUGGCCGGAUGCUGCAGGAGAACAGGAGAAUCAGAGAGAGACUAGUCUCAUUUAGCCAGAGCAGUCAGGUUAUAGAAUUAACCUAGACUGAAGCCUAGAUUAUAAUCAGGGAUUCAUCAUGCAUAUUGGUCUCUUCCUCCACCAAACUCAAGAAUGGAAUAGUUUUUUAUAGUUAAGUGUUGUUAUGAUUUAGGUUUAUAAACAAAUAUAAUGUGCUGAAUUAUGCUGAAAAAUGUCAUUGAGUUGGUAUGGGCAGUGUUUUAGGGGUUAUUGAGAGUGGAAUUUCUUCUCUAUGUUAAGUUGCCUUUAUAGGAUGACAUUGGAAAGUAGUUCUGGAUUAAAUAAAUUUAUUGAG